rnacentral:rRNA from 1 species
UACGAAGGGGGCUAGCGUUGUUCGGAAUCACUGGGCGUAAAGCGCACGUAGGCGGAUCCUUAAGUCAGGGGUGAAAUGCCGAGGCUCAACUCCAGAACUGCCUUUGAUACUGAAGAUCUUGAGUUCGGGAGAGGUGAGUGGAACUGCGAGUGUAGAGGUGAAAUUCGUAGAUAUUCGCAAGAACACCAGUGGCGAAGGCGGCUCACUGGCCCGAUACUGACGCUGAGGCACGAAAGCGUGGGGAGCAAACAGG